GAACUUAUAGUUGAAAUCCUGUCAAGGGUUCCUGUCAAAUUCCUGUUGCAGUUCAGGUGUGUUUCGAAAUCUUGGCUUGCUUUAAUCUCUAGCCCCAAAUUUGUCAAAACCCAUCUUAGUUUAUCUGUUAAGAACAAAGAUUACCUUUCUCAAAAAAAAUAUUUUCUUUCUCAAAAAGAACAAAAAUUACCCACACCACAGGGUUGUCUUGACAGUCAGGAAUGAGUCCAUUUCUGGUGAAUCCCG
rnacentral:lncRNA from 1 species